rnacentral:misc_RNA from 1 species
GCAAAACAAGGUCUAAAAGCCUCAACUCAUUUCCUGGUGUUUUCACUGAAAAAGUAAAUGCAAGACUAAAUCCAUAAUAAACAACCUCAGAGUUUAAACUCUUCAACAUUAGAGACAUGCAUGUCUCCUAUUGUUUGGCUUCAACUUUCUUCUUCUGCCACAGCCUGUCCAGAGCACCGUCGGCAUCACCCUGAGCACGAAUGAAUCCGCAGAGCGCGAACGUAUUGAACUGGCCGGUAUACACGCCGCUCUCAUCCAGAUGCCCGAUGUUGAUCUGGACCGCCGCAUGAUCCUUGGCGGUUAUCAGCCUAUUUGUCGCCGAGCAUUUCCUCGGAAUGUACAAAUCCAUCAUCUGCCCCUCUUCAUUCUGCAUCUUGGCGGGCGAUCUAGCAGUGAUGCGAAGAAAUUAGCUGAAGAAACCCUUGGCCGCCG